UUAGGGAGACCUACCCACUCAGCAGGAGUUGCGCAGUACGAAGAGUACGAGCGCAGGAUUUCUUGCAAGAGUUGGUUAUCCCAAGGUCGAGCAGGGAUGAGUGAAGCUGUCUUCCAAACUACACCAGGUUAACCAACAAGCAGCCAAUGUAUCUCUGGGAUAGAUUGUAGUUGUUUGAGAUGGGGUAAGUUCCGGCAAUUGAUCUAGCGAGGGAGUUAGACGGUUUGCUGGAUUAAGCUCCAGCGAAGCACCUUGAAAACUGCAUAGUAGAAGAAGUCAGGUAGAGAAGACUGAGCCUUGUUCAUUGUACUGAGCGAGGGCAACGAAGAUUCGGAAGGGUCAAGUUGUACCGAGUGAGGGAGUGGUGAAGGAGGAGCAGUUCAGGAAACAGACAUUCAAGAGAGAA
rnacentral:misc_RNA from 1 species